AUGUUGUACAGUACUAAUGUACUAUGGCUGUGUUGCAGAGUCAGCCACAUGCUCCCAUAUGCCACACCACGACAAGCAUGCAUGCAUGCAUAUGCAUGUAUCACAUGGAGUCAUCAUUUGCACUUACUCACGGCACGGUCGCGGGGCAACCACUACGUGCGCGCGUACGCUAAUUGGCGUGGGUGCUUGACACGUAAAUGGAUCCUUAGCUUAUUAUUGGCUUGGGUUGAUUAUAAGCCUAGAUACAUGCAUCAAAUCAAUCAUGUAAAUCUCCUUGGCGUAUUAACUCUUGUUUCGUUCCCACACUAA
rnacentral:rRNA from 1 species